CACGCCGUAAACGAUGCUUACUAGGUGUAGGAGGAAUCGACCCCUUCUGUGCCGUAGCUAACGCGUUAAGUAAGCCGCCUGGGAAGUACGAGCGCAAGCUUAAAACUCAAAGGAAUAGACGGGGAUCCGCACAAGUGGUGGAGCAUGUGGUUUAAUUCGACACUAAGCGAAACACCUCACCAAGGUUUGAAAUCUAGCUGCAUAGCCCAGAAAUGGGAAGUCCUUCGAGGGUGCUAGACCAGGUGC
rnacentral:rRNA from 1 species